GUGAUAGUGGCUUAGUGGUAGAGUGCAUACGUUGUGUUAUGAUGUUCUGGGUUCAAUCACCAGCUUCCCCC